rnacentral:misc_RNA from 1 species
GACUUGUUGAUAAUGUCAGAUGUAGAUGAGAUACCAAGCAGACAUACUAUCAAUCUCUUGAGAUGGUGUGAUGACAUACCUUCCAUUCUUCACCUUCGACUGAAGAAUUAUCUCUAUUCUUUUGAGUUUCUCUUGGAUGAUAACAGCUGGAGAGCUUCAAUCCACAGGUAUCAAACAGGCAAGACACGGUAUGCACAUUAUCGCCAGGCGGACAACAUUUUGGCAGAUUCAGGGUGGCAUUGCAGCUUUUGCUUUCGUCGAAUAAGUGAGUUUAUAUUCAAGAUGAGAGCUUACAGCCAUUGCGAUAGAGUCAGAUUCAAGCAUUUCUUGAACCCUGAAAGAGUCCAAAGAAAAAUAUGUGAGGGUGCUGAUUUAUUUGAUAUGCUUCCGGAGGAGUACACAUUCAAGGAAAUAAUUGGAAAAAUGGGACCAAUUCCACACUCCUACUCAGCUGUUCACUUGCCAUCGUAUCUAUUAGAAAAUGCUGAUAAGUAUAAAUUUCUCUUGCCUGGGAAUUGCAUGAGAGAAAGUGGGUAAUUUUCUUAGAUAACUUUCUUUAUCUAUUUCUGUAAAGCUUAGGCAGAGGUGCAGCUUGUGAGACUCCUUGUGAAGGUCCAAGCGAACAUGUGACAACUGUGAUAUGUCACUGGUGCAGUCCAACUAAAUUUGGGAAAUGUUUGGAGAGUUGGGUGAAUUCUUGGAUUUUAUAGGGUCAAAUUAUGUAUAUAGUUUUCUUCUGGUUUUGGAUUUUAUUCAAGGCAGAACAUAUCCAUUUGACCUGGUGAACUUGCUGUGAUGGUAACGGCCAAGUCAUUACUGGGUGUUUGUGUACUUCUUAGCAUGGGUAGAACUUGAUUUUCCAAGUACUCCAAAAAAUAGUUUGAGGUUCUGAUUUCCCCUUAUAGGGGAGUUUUGUUAUGAGAUGAUUUAUUCCUACAUGUCAUUAACACCAUGAUUCAUUAUAUUUGAUUGCAUUUUGAUCAAAAAAA